UUAAUCGAACCUAAUAAAUUAGAAUAUUACUGUUAAUGAUAUAUAAGGGGUACAAGCCCCCGAUUAAA
rnacentral:tRNA from 1 species